CCUACGGGGGGCUGCAGUGGGGAAUUUUCCGCAAUGGGCGAAAGCCUGACGGAGCAAUACCGCGUGAGGGAGGAAGGCUCUUGGGUUGUAAACCUCUUUUCUCAGGGAAGAAACAAAUGACGGUACCUGAGGAAUCAGCAUCGGCUAACUCCGUGCCAGCAGCCGCGGUAAUACGGAGGAUGCAAGCGUUAUCCGGAAUAAUUGGGCGUAAAGCGUUCGCAGGUGGCAAUUCAAGUCUGCUGUCAAAGGUCAGGGCUCAACCCUGAACAGGCAGU
rnacentral:rRNA from 1 species